rnacentral:rRNA from 1 species
UGCCAGCAGCCGCGGUAAUACGGAGGGGGCUAACGUUGUUCGGAAUUACUGGGCGUAAAGGGCGUGUAGGCGGUUUGUCUAGUCAGGCGUGAAAGCCCCGGGCUCAACCUGGGAACUGCGUUUGAUACUGGCAGGCUAGAGGUUGGAAGAGGAGAGUGGAAUUCCCAGUGUAGCGGUGGAAUGCGUAGAUAUUGGGAGGAACACCAGUGGCGAAGGCGGCUCCCUGGCCAAAGACUGACGCUCACGUGCGAAAGUGUGGGUAGCGAACAGGAUUAGAUA